rnacentral:rRNA from 1 species
GACGAGCGCUGGCGGCGUGCCUAAUACAUGCAAGUCGAGCGGACUGACUAAGAGCUUGCUCUUAUGACGUUAGCGGCGGACGGGUGAGUAACACGUGGGCAACCUGCCUAGUAGACUGGGAUAACACCGAGAAACCGGUGCUAAUACCGGGUAAUAUCUUAAAUCACAUGAUCUUAGGGUAAAAGAUGGCUUUGGCUACCACUACAGGUUGGUCCCGCGGCGCUUUAGUGAUUUGGUAAGGUAAUGGCUUACCAAGGAGACGAUGCGUACCCGACCGGAGAGGGUGAUCGGCCACACUGGGACUGAGACACGGCCCAGACACUCCCGGGAGGCGGCGGUGGAGGAUCUCCCGCGAUAGGCGAAAGUCUGACGGGGCAACGCCGCGUGAGUGAUGAAAGGUUUCGGCGCGUGAAGCACUGUUGUUAGGGAAGAAACAGUACCGGACGAACUAGGUCGGUACCUUGACGGUACCUAAUCAGAAAGCCACGGCUAACUACGUG